rnacentral:rRNA from 1 species
UACGUAGGGACCGAGCGUUGUCCGGAAUCAUUGGGCGUAAAGAGCGUGUAGGCGGCCACUUAAGUCCUGCGUGAAAUCUUGCGGCUCAACCGCAAGCGGUCGUGGGAAACUGGGUGGCUAGAGUGCGGGAGAGGAGAGUGGAAUUCCUGGUGUAGCGGUGGGAAUGCGCAGAUAUCAGGAAGAACACCCGUGGCGAAGGCGGCGCUCUGGGCCGGAACUGACGCUGAGGAGCGAAAGCGUGGGAGCAAACAGG